UACAGAGGUCCCAAGCGUUGUUCGGAUUCAUUGGGCGUAAAGGGUGUGUAGGUGGCGCGCUAAGUCGGGUGUGAAAUUUCGGAGCUUAACUCCGAAACUGCAUUCGAUACUGGCGUGCUUGAGGACUGGAGAGGAGACUGGAAUUCAUGGUGUAGCAGUGAAAUGCGUAGAGAUCAUGAGGAAGACCAGUGGCGAAGGCGGGUCUCUGGACAGUUCCUGACACUGAGGCACGAAGGCCAGGGGAGCAAACGGG
rnacentral:rRNA from 1 species